UAAACGACUCUCGGCAACGGAUAUCUCGGCUCUCGCAUCGAUGAAGAACGUAGCGAAAUGCGAUACUUGGUGUGAAUUGCAGAAUCCCGUGAAUCAUCGAGUUUUUGAACGCAAGUUGCGCCCGAAGCCAUUAGGUUGAGGGCACGUCUGCCUGGGCGUCUCAC
rnacentral:rRNA from 1 species